rnacentral:rRNA from 1 species
UACGGGGGGGGCAAGCGUUGUUCGGAAUUACUGGGCGUAAAGGGCUCGUAGGCGGCCAACUAAGUCAUACGUGAAAUCCCUCAGCUUAACUGGGGAACUGCGUGUGAUACUGGAUGGCUUGGAUUUGGGAGAGGGAUGCGGAAUUCCAGGUGUAGCGGUGAAAUGCGUAGAUAUCUGGAGGAACACCGGUGGCGAAGGCGGCAUCCUGGACCAAUAUUGACGCUGGGGAGCGAAAGCCAGGGGAGCAAACGGG